CCUACGGGAGGCAGCAGUGAGGAAUAUUGGUCAAUGUGCGAGAGCCUGAACCAGCCAAGUCGCGUGAAGGAUGACGGCCCUACGGGUUGUAAACUUCUUUUGUCAGGGAUCAAUUCGUUCCACGCGUGGGCUUAUCGAGAGUACCUGAAGAAAAAGCAUCGGCUAACUCCGUCCCAGCAGCCGCGGUAAUACGGAGGAUGCGAGCGUUAUCCGGAUUUAUUGGGUUUAAAGGGUGCGUAGGCGGAAAAUCAAGUCAGCGGUAAAAAUUCGGGGCUCAACCCCGUCGUGCCGUUGAAACUGGUGUUCUUGAGUGGGCGAGAGGUAGGCGGAAUGCGUGGUGUAGCGGUGAAAUGCAUAGAUAGCACGCGGAACUCCGAUUGCGAAGGCAGCCUGCCGGCGCACGACUGACGCUGAGGCACGAAAGCGUGGGUAUCGAACAGGAUGAGAUACCCCAGUAGUC
rnacentral:rRNA from 1 species